rnacentral:rRNA from 1 species
AGAGGACCGGAGUGGACGCAUCACUGGUGUUCGGGUUGUCAUGCCAAUGGCACUGCCCGGUAGCUAAAUGCGGAAGAGAUAAGUGCUGAAAGCAUCUAAGCACGAAACUUGCCCCGAGAUGAGUUCUCCCUGAGACUUUAAGUCUCCUGAAGGAACGUUAAAGACGAUGACGUUGAUAGGCCGGGUGUGUAAGCGCAGCGAUGCGUUGAGCUAACCGGUACUAAUGAACCGUGAGGCUUAACCUU